GGGGCUCUAUAUGUGCCUGCCGAGUGAAUCUAAUGGCCCUAACUUGUUAGACGAAACCUUUGAAAGGCUUCAUAGUGAUCCCUGCCGACCUCCCUUGGAAGGAGGUUAAGAUACUUGCAACCUCGGGCGAAAGGGUAAAUCACGACUCAUGGGUAAAGAUGUUCAACCUCUGCAGAGUGUUAAAUCUGGUAUACUAGCCGUGCCCACGCAUACGGGCGGCCCGGAAAACUGACGGAAUAGAUGGACAC
rnacentral:lncRNA from 1 species